UGCCAUUAUAAGUUCUUCAUCAACUAAAAACUCGACUGAUGUUUGUUCUUCUUGCUGAAAGCUUCCUCUUCAUGUAAAUCCAAAAUUUCAUCCAUCUCUAAUCGAGUUGGUAUGUCAUAUACGUCUCUAAGUAUUAUUUUUUGUACGACAUACCAAUUAUCUCAAUACUUUAGGUUCUUCAAAUAUAUUACUUGUUUCGCUUG
rnacentral:lncRNA from 1 species